UAUAUAGUGUUUAUUGUGGCCGUAAAUAAAUUUGUCUUUAAUACACUUUUAGAGUUUUACUGAUUAAUGGAUUCUGAGUAUUACUGGAUUUCUUCUCACUAUGUUUUAAGCUUAUGAUAUGCACUGUUUCAUGUUACUGACUACUGUGAUGAAGUAGCCAAGAUCCAAAUUAUGUAUUUUGCUGCAAUGAAAAUAAUAAUACAUACUCUCCAGAUUACUGUGAAGUUGGGAGAAAACUGACAAGCAGAUCACCUGAAAGUGCUGGUUACGUGGUAGACGCUGGUGAAAGAUUCCCAUUGCCUUUCUUGGAUUUCACUCAGCUCUAGAGAACUGUGUCGGCUCCUCCCCAUGCAUCUGGGCACAUUCUGUCCCCAGGUCCUGCCCCUGCUUAGGUAUUGUCUUUGCAUUUCCGUUUCCUGGUUUGGCAUAUCUCUGGGUCCUGGGGUUCCUCAUCUUCCUUCAUCCCUGGCUCAGAGUUGGCUUCUUUUCAGACUGUGGCUCUGGCUCUGGCUCUGGCUCUGGCUGUGCUGGCACUUAGCUCCUCCUCUACUUACACACAGCCUCUUCCCCCAAACCCACUUCCACCUUACCCUCCCGCCCCCAACCAUGGAUCUCCCUAGAACUCUCCGCCCCCACAGUUCUGUACUGCUGCCACUUGACAUCAGACGCCAAUAGCGACUUCUUGCCAGACAUGCCAACUGGGUUUAAACCCUUGGGUUUGACAAUAAAGAAGAGAAAGGAAUUGUUUACAACAAGAAGUUAGGCCAAAAAAUGAAUUUUAGAAAUUCAUUUGAGAUUGAUGAUGUCACCCCCAUAAAACCACUCCUUAGGAAAUCUGAACAAAAUGAAUGAAAACUGACUAGUUGUUCUCAUUGAGGCUGGACCCCAGGAUUCUGAUCUUGAUUCAGGAUCAGGAAAUUCACUUCUGUGGGGGUGCCCUGGUCCUUCCUGGUUUCCAGCUGACUGCAGCCAGCUGCUUCCACAGCAGGAGGAAUUUCCUCCGUGGUGCUGGGGGCCCAUGACCUGAGAUGUGGGGGAGAGAUCCCAGCAGACGUGUUCCACACGGACCAUCCGUGAGAAUGGCUGACCUCCACCUGAAUGACUUGCUGCUGCAGCUGGACCGUGAGGCUGACCUCCCCAGCGGUGUGGCGCUGGGGUCGCUGCACCUGCAGAAUGCCACAGUGGGAGCCGGCACCAGCUGCCAGGUCGCUGGUGGGGGGACCCAACAGAGAGGGAGGCAUCUCUCAUGCCCCCCGGGGGUUGUCAAUGUGAUGGUGACCCCUGAGGUGGAAAAAUUCAUUAAAAAUGAAUAAUUUCUCAAAACCACUACAGGCAACUCCCAGGUACGAAGCCUAAUUGAAUGCCACUUUUUAAGAACCAGUUUAGUCCUAAGUUAGAGGUGGCAGAAAUCUUCAUACUACUUGCAAAUCAGCUGCGGUGCUUUAGCCAAUUUCUGCAGUGUUCUAAGUUCUAUUAAAGCUUACACUGAAAAUGCUUAGUUAACAAAUGUACUUUAUCAAUACAAUACAGAUAAGUGUUCACCUACUAUUUUUAGGCAAUAGCUAGGCAACCCACUGUGUUUCCUUCAUCAUUUUAGCUACUGAGGUGCUAGAAGUCUGUACUCUAGUAAGAAAAAAAAAAAAACACUUAUUUUUUACUCAGGUUUCUGAUAUAACCAUUUUAUAUCCCUCCUUCCUUUACUGUGUUAGUCUUGUCAUUUUAUUCUUGCAUUAUUACGUAAAAACAAACAAUCUUGUCAUUUUAUAAUUGCAUUAUUGCAUAAAAACAAACAAUCACUUGGGGUCUUCAUUGGGUUGCAUUUGUGUAGUUUUUAAAAAGAAGGAAAAAAAGUAAUUUUCCCUUUUACUCUCCCUAUAGAAAGGCUAGCAAGGCCUUAGGGGUUGAGUUCCGAAGUUUACUGUCUUUAGGGGAAUUUGCAGUUAUUUUGUAUUUCAAGGACUAAAGCUCUAAAUAAUCCACCCACCCCACUGUCGUGCUGCCCCAAAACUGUGUUUGGAAAUGCUCAGCACUUUUGAAAACGACAAAAAAGUAGAUGAGCAUCUGGACUGGAGACUUGUGCUUUGACUGAUAAGGAUAAAAGACAGAGUAAGUGGUAUUGCUUUUCCAAGCCCUCAGAACUGGGAGACAAGAGAGGGGACUAUGGGUAGCAGACAUAUGGGUUUAAGUCCUAUGGGUUUAAGGAGGCAUGUUCAACCUCCCAUCCCACCGUGGCUGGGAACUCAGCUUCCAAGGUUUCCCUGGGGUCUUCUUAGCCAAGAGGGGGUCUGUUCAGUCUGUAAGGGGACUGAUAAUUUCAUUUUUAUUCUCAUCCUGAAAAACAACAGAGUGUCUACAUGGUAGAGCCCAGAAUGAAAGAACAAGUCACUGUAGGGGUAUCUCUGCAAUCCUCGUUAAACAUCAGAGCCCACAAGACAAGUUUUGGAUUAUUUCUGAAGCUAAUCAUAGAGUAAGACACUCCAUCAACUGGGAACCAGACUCCUUCCUGUGUUGCUGGAACAGAGUUCUAUAAGCUAACAGAGUUAAUUGAUUUGUAAGAAAGUUUUAUGAUGGGCAAUAUCUGAAUCAGGACAGUUUCCAGAAUUUAUGGUGGAUCAAGACACAGAUUGUUUGCUGUUGGUGUAAACUCCAGGCAAUCAAAGCAAAAAUAGACAAUUAAGAUUACAUCAAGUGGCUCCAGUGGUGAAAUCAGUUAGCACACGGUACUUAUAAGAUUACAUCAAGCCAAAAAACUUCCGCACAACAGAGGAAACAAUGAACAAAGUGAAGAGACAACUCACAGAAUGGGAGAAAAUAUUUACAAACCAUCCAUUUGACAAGAGAUUAAUAAUGAGAAUAUAUAAGGUGCUCAAGCAACUCAAUGGGAAAAAAAAUCAAAUAAUCUGAUUUAAAAAUGGGCAAAAGAUUUGAACAGACAUUUCUCAAAAGAAUACAUACAAAUGGC